rnacentral:rRNA from 1 species
CACGGGGUUGCGAGCGUUGUCCGGAAUUACUAGGCGUAAAGGGCAGGCAGGCGGAUCCAUAAGUUUAUCGUUUAAGGCGUCGGCUUAACCGGCGUAGGGCGGUAGAUACUGUGGAUCUGGAAUGCGGUUGGGGAAGACAGAAUUCCUGGUGUAGCGGUGGAAUGCGCAGAGAUCAGGAGGAAUACCGAAGGCGAAGGCAGUUUUCCAAGCCGUUAUUGACGCUCAACUGCGAAGGUGUGGGUAUCAAACAGGAUUAGAUACCCGCGUAGUCCCUGAG